rnacentral:rRNA from 1 species
ACAAGCGGUGGAGCAUGUGGUUUAAUUCGACGCAACGCGAAGAACUUACCAGGGCUUGACAUCCCCUGACCGCGUAUGAAAGUACGUUUCACCCUCGGGUGACAGGGAGACAGGUGGUGCAUGGUUGUCGUCAGCUCGUGUCGUGAGAUGUUGGGUUAAGUCCCGCAACGAGCGCAACCCUCGACCUUAGUUGCCAGCAUUCAGUUGGGCACUCUAAGGUGACUGCCGGCUAAAAGUCGGAGGAAGGUGGGGAUGACGUCAAAUCAUCAUGCCCCUUAUGACCUGGGCUACACACGUGCUACAAUGGGCGGUACAAAGGGUCGCGAACCCGCGAGGGGGAGCCAAUCCCAAAAAGCCGCUCUCAGUUCGGAUUGCAGGCUGCAACUCGCCUGCAUGAAGCCGGAAUCGCUAGUAAUCGCGGAUCAGCAUGCCGCGGUGAAUACGUUCCCGGGUUUU